rnacentral:rRNA from 1 species
AGAGUUUGAUCAUGGCUCAGAAUCAACGCUGGCGGCGUGCCUAACACAUGCAAGUCGAACGAGAAAGGGACUUCGGUCCUGAGUAAAGUGGCGCACGGGUGAGUAACACGUGACUAACCUACCCUUGAGUGGGGAAUAGCCGAGGGAAACCUUGAUUAAUACCGCAUAAUACCUACGGGUCAAAGGAGCAAUUCGCUUAAGGAGGGGGUCGCGGCAGAUUAGCUAGUUGGCGGGGUAAUGGCCCACCAAGGCGGUGAUCUGUAUCCGGCCUGAGAGGGCGCACGGACACACUGGAACUGAAACACGGUCCAGACUCCUACGGGAGGCAGCAGUGGGGAAUUUUGCGCAAUGGGGGAAACCCUGACGCAGCAACGCCGCGUGGAGGAUGAAGUCCCUUGGGGCGUAAACUCCUUUCGAUCGGGAAGAUAAUGACGGUACCGAGAGAAGAAGCCCCGGCUAACUUCGUGCCAGCAGCCGCGGUAAUACGAGGGGGGCGAGCGUUGUUCGGGAAUUAUUGGGCGUAAAGGGUGCGUAGGCGGUUCGGUAAGUCUUAUGUGAAAUCUUCGGGCUCAACUCGAAGUCUGCAUGAGAAACUGCCGGGCUUGAGUGUGGGAGAGGUGAGUGGAAUUUCCGGUGUAGCGGUGAAAUGCGUAGAUAUCGGAAGGAACACCUGUGGCGAAAGCGGCUCACUGGACCACAACUGACGCUGAUGCACGAAAGCUAGGGGAGCAAACAGGAUUAGAUACCCUAGUAGUCC